rnacentral:lncRNA from 1 species
UGCAAACUUUGAUUCCCAAUUACAUCUGUGUAGCAAACCAAAAUUGCAACCCUUAAUGUAGGCCACAGUCUCCCUUUGUUCUAAGUGAUAGAAGGCGAUGUCGUAUCGUCUUAUCUAUCCAUCCGACUAGUGUUUUUUUUUCGUUUUAAAAAAAAUGAAAUUUUAUAAAAUCAACCCGAAACUGGAACAAGGAAUUCGAUUACAAACUUUUACUCGAACAAAAUUUCCCAAAUCAAAAUAAUUCUAACUAGCUUCGCUCGACCCACAUAUCCUCGACGCAUUAUAUUCUUAAUUUUUGAGAAUCAAAAACCGUUCUCAGCCAUCAACGAGAACC